rnacentral:rRNA from 1 species
UACGUAGGGUGCGAGCGUUAAUCGGAAUUACUGGGCGUAAAGCGUGUGCAGGCGGUUUGUUAAGACAGGUGUGAAAUCCCCGGGCUUAACCUGGGAAUUGCGCUUGUUACUGGCAGACUAGAGUGCGUCAGAGGGAGGUGGAAUUCCACGUGUAGCAGUGAAAUGCGUAGAGAUGUGGAGGAACACCGAUGGCGAAGGCAGCCUCCUGGGAUGACACUGACGCUCAUACACGAAAGCGUGGGGAGCAAACAGG